rnacentral:rRNA from 1 species
GUAAUAGUUAUGUUCUUGAAACCCAGAGAAUUUGGCGGUAUUUUACUCUUUUUAGAGGAACCUGUCCUAUAAUCGAUAAUCCACGAGGAUGAUUUACUUGUUUUUGUUUUCAGUUUGUAUACCUCCGUCAUAAGAGUAUCUUUUUAGAGUUAAUAUUCUAUUAAUAUUGAUUAUAAAAUGUCAGGUCAAGGUGCAACUUAUGGACAAGAAGAGAUGGGUUACAAUAAAUCUAUUUAUACGGAUUAUAAAAUUUAUUUUUAUAUGAAGGUGGAUUUAAAAGUAAAAUUAAUUUCUUAUUAAUUUGAUUUUAGCCCUAAAAUAUGCACACAUCGCCCG